UGAACGCUGGCGGUAUGCUUAACACAUGCAAGUCGAACGGAAACGAUACUAGCUUGCUAGUAGGCGUCGAGUGGCGGACGGGUGAGUAACGCGUAGGAAUCUGCCUGAUAGUGGGGGAUAGCCCGAAGAAAUUCGGAUUAAUACCGCAUAAUCUAUUCGUAGUAAAGUGGGGGACUUUCGAGCCUCACGCUAUCAGAUGAGCCUGCGUAAGAUUAGCUUGUUGGUAGGGUAAAAGCCUACCAAGGCGACGAUCUUUAGCUGGUCUGAGAGGAUGAUCAGCCACAUCGGGACUGAGACACGGCCCGAACUCCUACGGGAGGCAGCAGUGGGGAAUAUUGGACAAUGGGGGCAACCCUGAUCCAGCAAUGCCGCGUGUGUGAAGAAGGCCUGAGGGUUGUAAAGCACUUUCAAUUGUGAAGAAAAGUUAGCGGUUAAUAACCGUUAGCCUUGACGUUAACUUUAGAAGAAGCACCGGCUAACUCCGUGCCAGCAGCCGCGGUAAUACGGAGGGUGCAAGCGUUAAUCGGAAUUACUGGGCGUAAAGCGUGCGUAGGCGGUUUAUUAAGUCAGAUGUGAAAGCCCCGGGCUUAACCUGGGGAACUGCAUUUGAAACUGGUCAACUAGAGUAUGGUAGAGGAAAGUGGAAUUUCUGGUGUAGCGGUGAAAUGCGUAGAUAUCAGAAGGAACAUCAAUGGCGAAAGGCAGCUUUCUGGACCAAUACUGACGCUGAGGUACGAAAGCGUGGGUAGCAAACAGGAUUAGAUACCCUGGUAGUCCACGCCGUAAACGAUGAUAACUAGCCGUUGGGGGGAUUUACCCUUUAGUGGCGAAGCUAACGCGUUAAGUUAUCCGCCUGGGGAGUACGGCCGCAAGGUUAAAACUCAAAGGAAUCGACGGGGACCCGCACAAGCGGUGGAGCAUGUGGUUUAAUUCGAUGCAACGCGAAGAACCUUACCUGGUCUUGACAUCCUGCGAACUUUCUAGAAAUAGAUUGGUGCCUUCGGGAACGCAGUGACAGGUGCUGCAUGGCUGUCGUCAGCUCGUGUCGUGAGAUGUUGGGUUAAGUCCCGUAACGAGCGCAACCCCUAUCCUUAUUUGCCAGCACAUCAUGGUGGGAACUAUAAGGAGACUGCCGGUGAUAAACCGGAGGAAGGCGGGGACGACGUCAAGUCAUCAUGGCCCUUACGACCAGGGCUACACACGUGCUACAAUGGGAAGGACAAAGAGCCGCGAAGCCGCGAGGUGUAGCUAAUCUCAUAAACCUUUUCGUAGUCCGGAUUGGAGUCUGCAACUCGACUCCAUGAAGUCGGAAUCGCUAGUAAUCGUAGAUCAGAAUGCUACGGUGAAUACGUUCCCGGGUCUUGCACACACCGCCC
rnacentral:rRNA from 1 species